rnacentral:rRNA from 1 species
AUUGAACGCUGGCGGCAGGCCUAACACAUGCAAGUCGAGCGGAUGAAGGGUGCUUGCUCCUGGUUUCAGCGGCGGACGGGUGAGUAAUGCCUAGGAAUCUGCCUGGUAGCGGUGUAUAACGUCCUGAAACGGGCGCUAAUACCGCAUACGUCCUGAGGACGAACGUGGGGGAUCUUCGGACCUCACGCUAUCAGAUGAGCCUAGGUCGGAUUAGCUAGUUGGUGGGGUAAAGGCCUACCAAGGCGACGAUCCGUAGCUGGUCUGAGAGGAUGAUCAGUCACACUGGAACUGAGACACGGUCCAGACUCCUACGGGAGGCAGCAGUGGGGAAUAUUGGACAAUGGGCGAAAGCCUGAUCCAGCCAUACCGCGUGUGUGAAGAAGGUCUUCGGAUUGUAAAGCACUUUUAGUGGGAAGGAAGAGCAGUAAGUUAAUACCUUGCUGUUUUGACGGUACCAAAAGAAUAAGCACCGGCUAACUUCGUG